rnacentral:rRNA from 1 species
CCUACGGGAGACAGCAGUGAGGAAUAUUGGUCAAUGGACGAGAGUCUGAACCAGCCAAGUAGCGUGAAGGAUGACUGCCCUAUGGGUUGUAAACUUCUUUUAUAAAGGAAUAAAACGAGGCACGUGUGCCUUUUUGCAUGUACUUUAUGAAUAAGGAUCGGCUAACUCCGUGCCAGCAGCCGCGGUAAUACGGAGGAUCCGAGCGUUAUCCGGAUUUAUUGGGUUUAAAGGGAGCGUAGAUGGGUUGUUAAGUCAGUUGUGAAAGUUUGCGGCUCAACCGUAAAAUUGCAAUUGAUACUGGAAGUCUUGAGUACAGUUGAGGUAGGCGGAAUUCGUGGUGUAGCGGUGAAAUGCUUAGAUAUCACGAAGAACUCCGAUUGCGAAGGCAGCUUACUAAACUGCCACUGACAUUGAUGCUCGAAAGUGUGGGUAUCAAACAGGAUUAGAUACCCCGGUAGUC